rnacentral:rRNA from 1 species
GAGAGGCUUUGUCAAUGGGGGAAACCCUGACGCAGCAACGCCGCGUGGGUGAUGAAGGCCUUCGGGUCGUAAAGCCCUGUCGGGCGGGAAGAACGUCCCUUCGGGGAAUGACGGUACCGCCAGAGGAAGCACCGGCUAACUCCGUGCCAGCAGCCGCGGUAAUACGGAGGGUACAAGCGUUAUUCGGAAUUACUGGGCGUAAAGGGCGUGCAGGCGGGAGAGCAAGUCUGAUGUGAAAGCCCGGGGCUUAACCCCGGAAGGGCAUUGGAAACUGCUUUUCUUGAGUUCUGGAGAGGAAGGGAGAAUUCCCGGUGUAGAGGUGAAAUUCGUAGAGAUCGGGAGGAACAUCAGUGGCGAAGGCGCCCUUCUGGACAGCAACUGACGCUGAGACGCGAAAGCGUGGGGAGCAAACA